ACUGCUUUGCUCCGCUUUGCUGCAUCUCAGACUUGUAACAGGUAAGGAUAUCCUGGAAACUAAGCUGCAGUCGGCUGAUGCAAACCAAACCCAGGGGGGUCCCAAGAGCUUUCGGGUACGUAAACUGAAAAGGGGUGAUCUGUCUCAGCUUGAAAAUCUCCCAUGGCCAGGAGCCUAAGUACACAAGCUGCCUGCACUCGCGGGGUCCCGAGGAAGGGGAGGAUGAUGGGAGAAGAAGAGGAACUACAAGCCCCAGCAUGCAGUGCACACUCUGGCUCCUGGAAAGAGGGCCUCGGAGAGGUGCAGCCCAACCGCGGGCCGUCGAAGAGAUGCCGACGGCCGACCACAAUGUUCAGAAUGAGGAAGACAAGCGCGGCGCUGUGAAAAAGCCUUAAGUCCCGAUUCAUGACGUUUGCGGUUUCGCCGGGGGCCCUACUAUGCUGAGGAGUGGAAUUUCCGGACCACACUGGCCGGUCCUCGCCAGGCUCGGACCUCCACAGUCCCAGAGCCUCCUGCGUUUCCGUGGAAUGCCCGGGCCGGAUAUGAUGUCUCCGUAGAGAAAAAAGGAAGAGGCGGAGCGGGGCGCGGUGACGUCCUUCCAAGAUGGCGGAGAGAGCGUGAAGAAACUGUUCCCCUUUGGUUUGCUUUAGAACAAGGGUAAAAUUCCAUUCUGAUACCAAAAUGCAGUAUUCGCACCACUGUGAGCACCUUUUAGAGAGACUGAACAAACAGCGGGAAGCAGGUUUUCUUUGUGACUGCACUGUGGUGAUUGGGGAAUUCCAGUUUAAAGCUCAUAGGAAUGUGCUUGCCUCAUUUAGUGAGUAUUUUGGUGCAAUCUACAGAAGCACUUCUGAGAACAAUGUGUUCCUUGAUCAGAGUCAGGUGAAGGCUGAUGGAUUUCAGAAACUGUUGGAGUUCAUAUACACAGGAACUUUAAAUCUUGACAGUUGGAAUGUUAAAGAAAUUCACCAGGCUGCUGACUAUCUCAAGGUGGAAGAGGUGGUCACUAAAUGUAAAAUAAAGAUGGAAGAUUUUGCUUUUAUUGCUAAUCCUUCUUCUACAGAGAUAUCUAGUAUUACUGGAAACAUUGAAUUGAAUCAACAGACUUGUCUCCUUACUUUACGAGAUUAUAACAGUCGGGAAAAAUCAGAACUGUCUACAGAUUUAGUUCAGGCCAAUCCUAAACAAGGGGCUUUAGCAAAGAAGUCAUCUCAAACUAAAAAGAAGAAGAAGGCCUUCAACUCCCAGAAAACAGGACAGAAUAAAACAGUGCAAUAUCCCAGUGACAUUUUAGAGAACGCGUCUGUUGAAUUAUUCUUAGAUGCAAAUAAAGUAUCCACACCUGUAAUAGAUCAAGUUUCACAAAGAAAUGAUAAUUCAGAACUCGAGUUGACGUCAGUUGUGGAAAAUACUUUUCCAGCACAAGAUAUUGUGCAGACUGUUACAGUGAAACGGAAACGUGGAAAAUCACAACCCAACUGUGCUCUAAAGGAACACUCUAUGUCUAACAUAGCCAGUGUCAAGAAUUCUUACGAGCUGGAGAGCUCUGGGGAAGAGCUGGAUCAGAGGUAUUCCAAGGCCAAGCCAAUGUGUAACACAUGUGGGAAAAUGUUCUCAGAAGCCAGCAGCUUGAGAAGGCAUAUGAGAAUACAUAAAGGAGUUAAACCUUAUGUCUGCCACUUGUGUGGAAAGGCAUUUACCCAGUGUAACCAGCUGAAAACGCAUGUAAGAACUCAUACAGGUGAGAAGCCAUACAAAUGUGAAUUGUGUGAUAAAGGAUUUGCUCAGAAAUGCCAGCUGGUCUUCCAUAGUCGUAUGCAUCAUGGUGAGGAAAAACCUUAUAAAUGUGAUGUAUGCAAUUUACAGUUUGCAACUUCUAGCAAUCUCAAGAUUCAUGCAAGGAAGCAUAGUGGAGAGAAGCCAUAUGUCUGUGAUAGGUGCGGACAGAGAUUUGCUCAAGCCAGCACACUGACCUAUCAUGUUCGUAGGCAUACUGGAGAAAAGCCUUAUGUGUGUGAUACUUGUGGGAAGGCAUUUGCUGUCUCUAGUUCUCUUAUCACUCAUUCUCGAAAACAUACAGGUGAAAAACCAUACAUAUGUGGUAUUUGUGGGAAAAGUUUUAUUUCCUCAGGAGAGCUCAACAAACACUUUCGAUCCCAUACAGGAGAAAGGCCAUUUAUCUGCGAAUUAUGUGGAAAUUCUUACACAGAUAUUAAAAAUUUAAAGAAGCACAAAACAAAAGUCCAUUCCGGUGCAGAUAAAGUUCUGGAUUCUAGUAUAGAGGAUCAUCCCUUGAGUGAACAAGAUUCUAUACAAAAAAGUCCGUUAUCAGAAACAUUGGAUGUGAAACCUUCUGAUAUGACUUUACCACUAUCUCUUCCACUUGGAACUGAGGACCACCACAUCCUUCUGCCUGUCACAGAUAAUCAGUCUCCUACAUCAGAUACAUUGUUGAGAUCAACUGUGAAUGGGUAUUCAGAACCACAGUUGAUUUUUUUACAGCAGUUAUACUGACUUUGUGAGGAAUAUGGAAUUGCUAAGACGUCUCUGGUAGUAAACAUAAACAUCUCUGCACAGACUCAUCCUGAUAGCAACCAUCUGUCCUGUCCUGGGUGAUUCACAUUCAUCUCUGAAAGCAUGAGAAUGGAUUUGGUAAGGCAUUUAGGUCUUUUCUGGCUCAGUAACUCUAUAACAUUAAGUGAAAAUAAUGCCUGAACAGUUUAUUAGAUGUUCUUCCCCUUAUGUAACCACCACUACCCUCUGUGCCCACCCUUCAUUCCCCCCAGGGAGUAUAGGAACAUGGUGUUAGGUGCCAAAUACAAGGAAAUACCUGUAAACCUUCAAAACUCAUUAAAUAGUGGGUAGGGGUUACUGAUCUUAAGUGUUUAAUCUACUAAAGGAGUGGACAGAUGUGAUUUUUUUUUGAUAUGCUAAUUAAAAAAAAAAUAAAUACAGCUUGAAGAAUUCACAGUACUUUUAAGUGAAGGCUGGUAUUUUGACAACUAUGUAAAGUUGACCACCACCUUUAUUCCACCUCCUCCCUGUAGACCUUUAGAGAUAGAUGGUAGUUUCUUUUAGACUGUAGGACCUAAGCAUAAUUUAAAGUAACCUUUUAAAACUGUCCACAUGUCUUUUUUUCACACUUUGACGAGUAAAUCAUUCAGGUGAAGCAUCAUCUUGGCAUGUGUGAAUAAAUUUGUGAAUAUAGGUCUGUAAUCAAAGCAUCAUAGUGUUUGUUGCCUCCUCAUAGGAAUCUUAAUUUGAAAACAAGAUUGGCCAUAGACAACAGUAAUUUGCCAUCAAAUCAUUAAAAUCUUACUGGCAUCUUCUAAAAGAGAGUGAUCUUAAAAAGUUCACUGGCAUUACUGACUUGUUUAAAAAGCAUACAUUUAGGGACACUAGGUGGCUCAGUGCGUUAAGCCUCUGCCUUCGGAUCAGGUCAUGAUCCCGGGUUCUGGGAUUGAGCCCCACUUCGGGCUCUCUGCUUGGCAGGGAGCCUGCUUCCCUUCCUCUCUCUCUCUGCCUGCCUCUCUGCCUGCUUGUGAUCUCUGUCAAAUAAAUAAAUAAAAUCUUAAAAAAAAAAAAAAAAGCAUGCAUUUAUAUGUGUUUCUAUAUAUUUCCCUGUGUUUGCAAAAUUGUAUCAACAAUCAUUAUUAUCUAAAUAAGUUAUAUAAAAUACCUUUUCAACUCUGAACCGCCUGAAAUUCCCUUGGAUUCUGCCACCUGAGCCUUUUUUACCACUUCAUGACAACUGUCAGUUAGGAUACCUAUAAUGGCUUUUUCUUUUUAUGCUAUUUUACUACUUAAUGAUAUUUUGUUUUUAAAAGCAUAUUGGUUUAAUUCCUUGAUUCUUUUUUUUUUUUCUCCAUGGCUAAAAUUUUAGCCUCUACUCUUACCCCCCCCCCAGUCUUUUUUUUAUUUUUUAAUUGAUAUGUAGUUGACAUAGUAGUUUCAGAGUUACAACACAGUAAUCCAACAAUUAUAUACAUUACAGAGUGCUCACUAUGAUAAGUAUGAUUAUCAUCUGUCACUGUACCAUGUUACUAAAAUAUUAAUAUGUUCUCUGUGCUGUAGUUUUUCAUUUUCUUCACUUAUUUUAAUAAGUUUGGAAAUUUUUACUUCUUAAUCCCUUUCACCUAUUUUGUCUAAACUCUCAUCUCCCUCCCCUCUGGCAACCGCUAGUUUGUCUUCUUUGAAUCUGUUUUAACAUUUUAACAAUAUUACAUCUUCUAAUCCUUGAGCACAGGAUAUCUUUCCAUUUGUGUUGUCCUCAGUUUCAUUCAUCAGUUGUGUUUUUUUUUUUUUUAACUUUAUUAAUGUUUUUAAGAAAGCUCUACAUUCAGCAUGGUGCUCAAACUCACAACCCCAAGAUCAAGAGUCACAUGUUUUUCUGAGCUAAACAGGCAUCUCAGUAUUUUACUCUUUUUGAUACAGUUUUACAUAGGGUUGUUAAUUUCCCUUUCUGCUGUUUUGUUAUUAGUGUACAGGAAUGCAGCAGAUCUUUGUAUUUUGUAUCCUGCAACUUACUGAAUUCAUUUAUUCUAAUAAUUUUUUUGGUGGAGUCUUUAGAGUUUUCUAUAUAUAGCCUGUGUCUCUGCAAACAGUGAUGGUUUACUUCUUCCUUACCAAUUUGGGCACCUUUUAUUUUUCUUGUCUGAGUGCUAUACCUAGGACCUCUGGUACAAUAUUGAAUAAAAGUAGUGAAAGUUUGGACAUCCUUAUUUCUGACCUUAAGGGCAGAGCUUUCAGCUUUUUUACCAUUGUGAUGUUAGCUUUGGGCUUAUCAUAUAUGUCUUUCAUUAUGUUGAGGGAUGUUCCUUUUGUGCCCACUUUGAUAGUUUUUAUCAGUGGAUGUUCAAUUUUGUCAUUCUUUUUCUGCAUCUACUGCAGUGGUCAUAACACUUUUAUCCAUUUUGUAAAUGUAGAUCACAUCAGUGAUUUGCAGGUAUUAAACCGUCUUUGCAUCCCUGGAAUAAAUAUGACUUGAGUAUAGUGAAUGAUCCUUUUAAUGUAUUUUUGAAUUCUGUUCACUAAUACUUUGUUGAGUUUUAUGCUUUUAUGUUCAUCAAGGAUAAUUGGCCUAUAGAUUUGUUUGUUUGUUUUGUAGUUUGUUUUGGUAUCAAGGUAAUGCUGGCCUUGUAAAAUGAAUUUUGAAGAAUUUCUCCCUCUUCUGUUUUUUGGGAUAGCUUGAGGAUAGGUAUUAACUCUUCUUUAAAUGUCUGGUAGAGUUCAUCUGUGAAGCUCUCUGAUUCUAGCUUUAUUGGGAGUUUUUUAUUAUUGGUCCAAUUUUGUUACUAGUAAUUGGUCUGUCCAGAUUUUCUGUUUCCUCCUGACUCAGAAGAUUGUUUCUAGGAAUUAAUCUCUUUUGGGUUGUGCAUUUUGUUGGCUUUUAGUUUUUUUGUAAUUGUUUAUAAUUUUUUAUAUUUUUAUGGUGUCAGUUUUAACUCGUCUUUCAUUUCUGAUUUUGAGUUCUUGAUUAAAACUUCUGGCUGAAGUUUUACCAAUUUUGUUUAUCUUUUCAGAGAAACAGCUCUUGGUCUCAUUCAUCUUCUCUGUUGUUUUUUUAGUCUCUAUUUCAUUUAUUUGGGCUUUGUUGAUUCUUUUUUUUCUGGUUCCUUAGAUAUAAGGUUAGAUUGUUUAAAAUGUUCUUGUUUCUUGAAGUAGGCCUAUAUCAUUAUAAAUUUCCCUCUUGGAAAUACUUUUGCUGUGUGCUGAAGAUUUUGAACUGUAGUGUUUCCAUUUCUGUUUGUCUCCAAGUAUGUUUUGAUUUCCUCUUUGUUUCUUUGUUGAUCCAUUGGUUGCUUUAGUAAUCUGUUAUUUAGCUUCCAGUUAUUUUGUUUUUCAUUCAGUUUUCUUAUAAUUGAUCUCUUUCUAGUUUCAUACUCUUAUAGUGGUAAAAGAUGCUUGAUAGGAUUUCAUUGUUCUUAGACUUGUUUUAUGGUCUGCCCUGUGAUCUGUUCUGGAGAAUAUACCAUGUGCACUUGAAUAGACAUUCUGCUGUUUUGGGGUGGAAAAUUCUGUGUGUAUCUGUUAAGUCUACCUGGUCUAGUGUGACAUUCAAAGCCACGGUUUGAUUUACUGUCUGAGUGAUCUAUCCAUUGACGUAAGCAUGUGUUAAAGCCCCCUACUAUUACUGUGUUAUUGUCAAUUUCUCUCUUUAUGUCUGUUAAUAUUUGCUUUAUAUAUCUAUAUGGUGCUCCUAUGUUGGAUGCAUAGUAUUUGUAAUUAUUAUAUACUCUUAAUGAACUGAUCCUUUUAUCAUUAUUCAAUGACCUUGUCUCCUUACAGUCUUUUUUUUAAAGUCUAUUUUACCUAAUAAUUAGUAUUGGUAUCCCAUCCCCCCCCUCCGCUUCAUUUGCAUGGAAUAUCUUUUUCCAUCUCUUCUUUUUUUUUUUUUUUUUAGGAUUUUAUUUUUUCAUUUGAGAGAGAACAUGUACAAGCAGAGGGAAGGGAUGGUGGGAGAGGGAGAAGCAGACUCCCCGCUGAGCAGGGGGCCCAAUGUGGGGCUCUAUCCUAGGACCCUGGGAUCAUGAUCUGAGCUGAAGGCAGACACUUAAUCUACUGAGUCACCCAGGCACCCCUCCAUCCCUUCACUUUCAGUCUGUAUGCAUGUUUAGGGCUGAUGUCUCUUGUAGGCAGUAUAUAGAUGGGCCUUGCUAUUUUAUCCUUUCAGUCACCUUAUAUCUUUUCCUUGGAGCAUUUAGUCCAUUUACAUUUAUUCAUUCAUUUAUUUACUUAAGAUUUUAUUUAUUUAUUUGACAGUGAGCACAAGUAUGGGGAGCAGCAGGCAGAGGGAGAGGGAGAAAGCAGGGUCCUUACUGAGCAGAGAGCCUUGUGAGGGGUUGGAUCCCAGGACCCUGGGAUCAUGACCUGAGCCAAAGGCAGAUGCCUAAUGACUGAGCCAUCCAGUCAUUUAUUUUUUAAUUUUUUUUAAGAUUUUAUUUAUUUAUUUGACAGAGAAAUCACAAGUAGUCGGAAAGGCAGGCAGAGAGAGAGAGGGAAGCAGGCUCCCUGCUGAGCAGAGAGCCCGAUGGGGGGCUCGAUCCCAGGACCCUGAGAUCAUGACCUGAGCCGAAGGCAGCGGCUUAACCCACUGAACCACCCAGGCGCCCCCAUCCAGUCAUUUAAACAUCCAACAUUUAAAGUUAAUUAUUGAUAGGUAUGUACUUACUAGCAUUUUGUUGUUUACUGGUUGUUUCUGUAAUUCUCUCUUCCCUUGUGAUUGAUGGUUUUCUUUAGUGUCCUGCUUGAAUUCCUUUCUCUUCUUGUGUAUCUGUUAGAGGUUUUUGCUUUGUUGUUACCCUGGGGUUCAUAUAGAACACCCUGUGUAUAGCAGUCUAUUUUGAGAUCAUGGUCUCUUAAGUUCUCUAAGAGCACCUAAGUUUGAUUCCCCCCUCCAUGUUUUAAGUAUAUGAGGUCAUAUUUUACCUCUUUUUGUGUAUCCCUUGACUAGUUUUUAUAGAUAAAAUUGAUUUUACUACUUUUAUUUUAACCUCCUUACUAGGUUUCUAAGUGAUUGAUCUACUACCUUAACUAUAUGUUUGCUUUUACUGUGAAAUUUUCUCCUAAUUUUCUUCCACUGUGGCCUUUUCUUUCCACUUAGAUAAUCUCCUUUAACAUUUCUUGUAAAGCUAGUUUAGGGGUGAUGAACUCCUUUAACUUUUGUUUGUCUGGGACACACUCUUCCCUUCAAUUCUGAGUGAUAAUCUUGCUGGAUAAAGUAUUCUUGGUUGCAGAGGUUUUGUUUUGCUUUUUUCUUUCAGCGCUUUGAUGAUGCCAUGCCCUUCUGGUCUAUAGCGUCCUGCUGAAAAUGAGCUGAUAGCCUUAUGGGGUUUCCCAUGUAUAUAUGUAAUUGCUUUUCUCUUGCUUUUGGGACUUUCUCUUUAAUUUUUGUCAUUUUAAUUAUGUGUCUUGGUGUGGACCUCCCUGGGUUCAUUUUAAGACUCUUCUUGCCUCUUGCACCUAGAGGUCAGUUUCCUCCCCAGAUUAAGGAAGUUUUCAGCUGUUAUUUCUUCAAAUAAGCUUUCUGUCCCCCUUCUCUCAUCUCCUUCUGGGAUCCCAUAAUGCAAAUGUUCAUGUACUUGAUAAGUCACAGAGAUACUUUAACCUAUUCUCAUUUUUUAUUUUUACUGUUGAGCUUGAAUGUUUUCCAUUACCCUGUCUUCCAGAUCACUGAUUGAUUCUUCUGUAUCUUCUAAUCCACUGAUUUCCUCUAGCCCAUUUUUAAUUUUAGUUAUUACAUUCUUCACCUCUGACUAGUUCUGAGUUCAGCCACUCUUUUCUCAAGUCUGGUGAGUAUCUUUCUGACCAUUACCUUGAACUCUAUCAGGCAUAUUGCUGAUCUCUUUUUCUGUGGUUUUGCCUUCUUUCAUUUGGAACGUAUUCCUGUGUCUCCUCAUUAUGUGUUUCUGUGAAUUACAUAAGUCAGCUGCUUCUCUUGGUCUUGAAAGUAGUGGCCUUGUGUGGAACGUGUCCUGUAGUUACCUGUAACAUGGCCCUCUCUGGUCACCAGAAUUUAUUGAGGUUGAGCUAUGAUGGAUGCUGGCAUGCUGGUGGAUGAUGCUAGCCCUCUGCCCAACCGUCUACAGUGAUCAUCCUGUAGUGUUGAGGGCACACUGGUGGGCAGGGCUUGUCUGCUGCACAGCUGGCUAAUAAGCCUUAGUCAUCUCUACAUCAUGCAGACUGGGCCAGCACUCAGCCUGUCUGCGGUGGUCCACAUUGCCUGCUCUGGGCUCACUUGUAGGCAGUGCUGAUUUCCUGUGUGGGUGGCUGUGAGACCUGGUUGCAGCCCUUGUGGGCUUGCUGUCUGGAAUGAGAGUCUGUAACUGCUGCAGACACACUGAGGGGUAGGGCUCUAGAGGCAGCUGAGAAGCACAGCUACAGCAUCUGCAUGUGCACUGGUAUAUGGGGUUAGCUCCUCACUCCCUAGGGCAGGAAAUGUGCCUAUCACAGUGGGCAGGUUGGAAGGGCAGGGCACACAGUGCUAGCAAGGUAGGGGGAGAAUGUCAGAACUCGCUUCUACAAGUGUCUGACUGUCUAGGCUGGGAGAGGACAAGAAAAAUGGCACCUACCAGCACUUUCAAGCCUGGGGAAAGCUCCUGUUUAUCUCCUAUAGAUUCCUGCCCCUCCUGUACACAUCCUAAAACUAGUUGAUAAAUCUCUCUCAGAUGUACCCCAGGCACUUUUCAAACUGCUGCUUCUAUGCUCUGUCUUGGGCCAAGUUAUUUAAUGUGUUGACUUCUAAAGACUUGAUUUCUUGCAGCCCUCCAGCUCUUCUGGAGUUAAGCCACACUGAUUUUCAAAGCCAGACAUUAUGGAGACUGGUCUUACUAGUGCAAGUUCUCAGGGCCAAGGGUGUCCAUUGUGGGGUCGCUCCUUGCCUGUGAUGUCCCUCACCUUUAUGAGUAGUCACUCCAGGAGUUUCAUUACCAAUGGCAGAUGGCAGCUCUGUACCUCCUGCGCUUUUGAUGUGACCUUGCUACACCUAGCUGUGGAUGAUCUUCACCUAGCUGUAGAUGAUCUGUUCUGCCACCCGUCAGGUAGUUUUCAGAGUGAGUAGCAGUACAUGCAGCAGUUGCCACCAUGUGUGGCCGGGGUGGAGGGAGGCGGUGAAUUUAGGAUUCUCCUACUCUGCCAUCUUCCCUCUCCUGUAAAAUUUCUUUUAAAACAAUGAUACUGUUUUUCCACAGUGGACAGUUAUACAAAGUCAUUUUAAUAUAAUCAUUUUUUUUCAAAUGUAUAAAAGGUAAGAUGUUCUAAUUUAAGAAUUUAAUAGGCAAUAAAAUAUUAACAUAAGACAAGUAAUGUGAAAAUUUCAGAGCUUGUUUUUCAUAGAUGUCCACCUACUGGUACAAGAGCAAAACCUGCAUUAGGUGAGUUUGUGCAAGCUUCUCCAUAAAUUGGUCUCCAGUAGUAAUGCUUUUUAAGGCCAUUGGAGACUUCUGCAAGAUACAUAUGUCCAUCCACCACAAAUGGCUCCACAUCUGUAUUGUCUGGUUUUAGACGGCCCGUUUGAAUUAAGUCUGAAUAAGCCUAUGAUUUUUAAGAAAAGAGAGACCUGUCAUUAAGAAAAUUGUCUAAUUUCCAUAAAAUGAAUAAGCUAAUUGCAAUUUUCAGAUUAGCUGUGCUGAUUUUCAGUUUAAAAUAUUCUGAGUAAAUACUAAAUUUUAGUAUUUUUUACAUACAAUUUUUAUUCACUUAAUUUCACAUAAUUAUAAUUUUGAAAAAGUUACUUCUAAGUUUUGAAGUAUUUUGUUUUAUGGCUCCCAGAAUUAACAGUUCUCUGUAUUACAGAUUUUGUGGGCCAAAGGUCUCAUUGUCAAAAUUUUCAAGUCCUGCAGGGGUUUGUAAGUGAGGGAGGAAGGGGUUGUGUAUGCCUUGAAAAUUUGAUGAUAGCCAGGGACCCAUUUCACAGGAAAAUAUGCAACCAGAUUUUGGCAUAUGGCUGUAUGGAGUUCAUGAACUCCCUGAAGCUAAUUUAUAGAUUGAGGCUAAGACAAUUUCUGUAGUAUCAGAUGCUGACCUGGCUGUAGCCUAAUUCUGUCUUCACUGUAGAAUUUUCUUUGUAUAUCACUAAUGGAUCAUUGGUAUCUUUGUAAGGGUAUCAUACAAACAUGUUAAAAUGGUUGGUUAAUAAGAUUGUGAGUAUAGAGAAAGAUAUAUAGACAGUAAAAAAUUUAAAAUUUUAGCUGUUUUCUGCUUAGGCUUAUUAUUCCAAACUCAUUCUAGUGUGUAGAAUAUGAUCUUUUUCUGAAAUCAAGGGUUUAAAUAGUAUAUUUUAUUACUCUUUUUGGAGGUGGAAUUUUGGAUAGUCUUUUUGCAAAUUGAGAAUUUUAGCAUCUUCAUUCUUUCCAAAUAAAAACUAUUUGUUACAAUGC